rnacentral:lncRNA from 1 species
GCCAGGCUGGGAGCUCCCUGACUGCUCUGGUCCCUGGGCUGCUCCCACGAGCCUGACUCUGACGGUGUCUGCUGCACAUCAUCCGCGGAGUCCCGAGUUUCGGCCACUGCGGUCGUCCCCAUUUCACAGCCAGGAAACAGAGGACAGGGGAAGUCAACUGGAGGUCACGCGGUGAUGGGGAAACCGAGGCACGGAGCUGUGAAGUGACUUGCCCAAGGCCCCACCGGCAGCCAGUGGCAGAGCCAGGUGCCCCCCAAGAUGUUCACGCCCUAAUCCUCAGGAUCUGCAGACAUGUCACCUUUCAUGGCAAAAGGUCUUUGCAAAUGUGAUGAAACAUCUGAAGAUGGCAAGAUUCUCUUAGGUGAUCUCAGUGGGUCCCAGGUAAGCACAAGGGUCUUUAUGAGAGGAAGAAGGUAUUUGUUGAUGUCUCUUUCAUUCCUGCUGAUCACUUGAUGAAUACGGAGUUGGCCAGAUUUCUCCACUGAAAAGUUACUGUGUUUCCUUUUGUCAUUAACAAGCAUCUUGUUGGGCGAUACUUUGAGACUUUGUAAAUAUCCUAUUACUCAAAUUUUCACCCGCUAAUUUUAGCAUCCUUAGAUGACUCCACCUGGAUGGGUU